CAACGUACGAUUCCCCACGGCUGUUUGAGAUGAAGCUUGUAGGCAUAGUUCGGAUUUAAUUCCCAUUAAUAAUAAAUGCAAAAGAACGAUUGCUGCUUCACAUUGCUGUUUGCACUCUAAUAGCUCAUACCAGUCAGGCUGGCCAUCAAUGAUUAAAUUCAGGGGUGCACCACUGAAGAGCACCUCCAAAUUAUACUCAAAGACAUGGCACAGCUAUCAAAGGAAAAGCAAAGAAGAAAGUGAAUGCCACAGUUGCUAGAAGCCACCCUAAUGGCCCUGGUAGAUGGGAAGAAAUGUUCUCUGACCACAAGUGGUGAGGAUAAUCCUUCAGGCAAAGCAUCAAGCUCCAGUAUAAGGCUGCCACAGUGGAUCAGAGCCUACCCCAAAGGAGUUGGAUCCAACACAGGAAGAACAUUACUGACUUCAUGUGCAUAGUCAAGGAUCUGAAUCGCACUGCCAUGGCGAAAAUUUAUUGUCCAUCCGUAAUUGUCCUUGAACCACCAUUUUCCACAACUCCCUGAACAGCUGCAGUCUUUCUGGUGCAGAUGCUGUGUGAUCUGCAAAGUAUUUCCAACAUUUACAGUUUAUAUUUCACGUUUUUUGCAACGAUAAUUUAGCAAGGAGCUGGCUGACCACUUUGCAGGACCUCUGUUACCUUUGCAUACUUUGACCCUGAAGAUCCAGUUGCCUGCCAUUUUAAUUCUCCACACCACUCCUCCUCCUCACACCUCUGCGUCCUUGACCUCCAAAGAAACCCAAUGUAAGCUUGAAGGAAAGCAUCCCAUCUUCGGCCUGGGCAUGUUGCAACCCUAGGGACUUUAUAUGGAAUU